rnacentral:rRNA from 1 species
CCUACGGGUGGCAGCAGUGAGGAAUAUUGGUCAAUGGACGUAAGUCUGAACCAGCCAAGUAGCGUGCAGGAUGACGGCCCUAUGGGUUGUAAACUUCUUUUAUGCGGGGAUAAAAUGCGUCACGUGUGCCUUUUUGCAGGUACCGCAUGAAUAAGGACCGGCUAAUUCCGUGCCAGCAGCCGCGGUAAUACGGAGGGUCCGAGCGUUAUCCGGAUUUAUUGGGUUUAAAGGGAGCGUAGGCCGCUUGUUAAGCGAGCCGUGAAAUGCUGUGGCUCAACCAUGGAAUUGCCGUGCGAACUGGGGUGCUUGAGUGUGUGGAAGGCAGGCGGAAUUCGUGGUGUAGCGGUGAAAUGCUUAGAUAUCACGAAGAACCCCGAUUGCGAAGGCAGCAUGC